GGAAAAGUGGCUCAGUGGUAGAGUGCUUGCCUUGCAUGCAUGAGGCCCUAAGUUCUAUUCCUUAGCACCA
rfam:Dipodomys ordii contig_27375, whole genome shotgun sequence.